AUUAAUGCAUUUUAAUAUGAAAAGUGAUUUAAACUUUAUAAGUUAAAGUAAUUCUUUAAAAAAUAAUUUUCUUUUAGUACCGUAAGGGAGUAAUCAAAAAUUAAAAAGUAAUAUUAAAUUUAUGUACCUUGUGUAUCAGUGUUUAUCAAAUUCAAAAUUUUAAAAAAUGGAUUCUCGAAACUUAAAGAUCUAGCUUUAUUAAAUGUAGUUUCUUAUUGCAGUAAGAAAUAGAAAAUACAGUUAGUUGAAAAAAUCAUUUCAAUUUAAGAGAUAUCUAGUUUAUUAAGAAAUAAAUUUAAUUUAAACUAGUUUUGUAACUCUGAAAUAAAAAAGAAAAUUAUAAAAUUAGUGUUAUUUAAUUAGGGAUAAGCUUAAUUAAAAAAUAGAUUAGAGUUAAAAAACAACAUAAAAAACUAGGAAUAAUAGUACCCAAAUCAAAAACUUAAUAGAAAAAAUUUAAUAAAUAAAUAUUUUUUAACUCUUUAAAUAUUUUAUUAAUAUAUUUUAAAUAACUAAAUUUUAAAAAAAAUUAUGAUAGAAUAAGUAAAUAAGAUAAAAGCUUUUAAAGAACUCGGCAAAUAAAUCUUCCGACUGUUUACCAAAAACAUUUCCUCCAGCUUGUAUUGGAGGUAGGGCCUGCUCAAUGAUAAUUAAAUAGCCGCAAGUAGUUGCGCAAAGGUAGCAUAAUAAAUUGCUCUUUAAUUGGGAGAUGGAAUGAAAGGUUUAACGAGGAGAAACCUGUUUCAAAUGCUAAUUAUUGAAUUUAACUUUUAAGUCAAAAGGCUUAAAUUUAUUUGAUGGACGAGAAGACCCUAUAGAGCUUUAUUAAAUACUUUUAAGAAAGGAUUUAAAAAAAUUCUCCUAUUCUUAAGAAAAUAUUAAUUUAACUGGGAUAGUUGAGCUAUAAAAAAAACUAGUUUUUUUAAAAAACACUUAUGGGUGAAGAAAAAAUUACGAACCGGUAAAUGAUUAAAAGAAUAAGCUACCUUAGGGAUAACAGCGUUAUUUUUCUUAAGAGCACUAAUCGCCAGAAGGAGUUGCGACCUCGAUGUUGGAUUAAGGUUAAUUAAAGGAGCAAAAACUUUUUUUAAAAUUUGGUCUGUUCGACCAUUAAAAUCUUACAUGAUCUGAGUUAAGACCGGCGUAAGCCAGGUUGGAUUCUAUCCUCAAAGUAAACUUUGUUACAGUACGAAAGGACCUAACAAUGAAUUCAAAAUUU
rnacentral:rRNA from 1 species